CACCUCAACCAACGGCGCAUCUGACCACACCUCCACAUCCACACCGCUCCAGCCAGCCGGUCACAAGACAUCGCUCUGUGCCCGCCUCAUGCCGCUGCACCCCUCGGCAGCAACUCCCUCUCAGCAACAGCUAGCUCGCACGGAUCCCGCUUAUCUGAUGGUAAGAACAUUAAUCCUUAAUCUGUGGCAGCAUCUCUGCAUCCUUAGAUAUAUUUUGUAGGUUUUGUUCAGAUGUUGAACUGAACAUUGAGCAUUUUAGUUUCCAUAUGUUUGUGUAGAUGCUUGCUAGAUGUUAGCUAGGGUUUCUGCUGAUGUUUGCUAGAUGUUUGCUAGGGUUUUUGGAGAUGUACCUAUAGUACCUUGAGCAUUAUUAUAGGGUUUGUGCAGAUGUUUGCUACAACUUUGAGCAUUUUUUUUCAAUAUGUUGCAGACCGUCUUGCUGUGCAUGACGGAUAACAGAAGACAUUGACCUUUUUAUAGAAGGGGUACAGCUAUGCACCUUUCAUGCACCUGUUGCUAGGUAUGGUGUAUGUUUUUACUUAACUUUCUAAGAAAUCCUUUAUUGGUCAGCUGUUGCUAUGUUAUCAAAUACCAUAAGGUGUUCAGAAAGCAAGUCAUGAACCAAUGGAGGUUAAACUAUCGUAGAUUGUGGUGUGCCAUAUAAUUAGCUUAUGCAGAAUCAACUGCUUUAAUUUGAAUUUGUGCAAAUUUACCAAAUUAUCACAAAAGUACACUCCCAAGAAAAGUUAUCACCUGAGGAUGAAUUAUUUGGAAUGCAUAUCUCAAAGUAACAUGUUUACUGAUUUCCUAUUAUUAGCCACUUCUAUUACGAACCAGACCCACUUGUGAAGGCCACAUUAACAUUUGCAGGAGCAGCACUGGCACCUAUUGCCCUGCUGUACUGAUGAGGGCCAGAGCGAACUGGGAUGCAUGUGGCGAACAGAGGAUGUAUAUGUCAGCUCCCUCACCUUCAACAUGUCGAUUAUAUGUGAGGGCUUCUUCUUAUUUUUCGUUCUCCAAUUUUAAUUUUUAUUAUCCAUGUGGAAAAAGAUUUUAGGUUGUGUCCUCUCUUUUAAUUUAAUGCUCAGCCAUGUCCUCUUCCAAUUGAAAGCUAUCCAUAUUGACAGCUCCUAUUAUUAAUGUGGGUGCUUUACUCUUCAUAUUUUGAUGCCUAUGCAUUUUACUGGAAAUGUUGUAUGGAGGACUAAAAUUCUUCAUGUGAAAGUAACCGUAGUAGAACUAAGAUUAGUAUAAACUAUUUUCAUGUAUGAUUUCUUUUUAAUUUCUAGCAGUGUAUAAUUGUUGUUUGUGAAUUUUAGGAUUGUAUUAAACAAAACCCAAAAAUUCUUAACACCGGUGCAACGCGCAGGGCUUUUAUUACAUGAAAGGACUUAUUAUUAUGACUAUCAUAAUAUUAAGAUUUUCAUAAUUGUUUUUUUUUGUUCUCUUCCAUGUUAAGAAUUCCAUGCAUGCUAAUUUUGCUAUAUAAUGUGCUUAAGAAAAUGACGUGUUCAGAAUUGCCAGCAAAAAAUUGUAGGUGAACAUACAGGAAAUACAAGAUAAAUCAUACUUUUGAUAGAAUAUCUCAACAAAACAUGAUCCUAGUAUAACAAAUAUAACACUAUUAGAGAAUAUAAAGAUCCAGAAUUAUUCGUACCUAGAGGAACUCGCCUUAAAGAUGCUCCUUGCUUACACAAGGUACUCCUUGGGAAAUUUUCGUCCAGGUCAGCUGUUGUGAUGGCCGAAGGAAGAGCAAGGAGGGGGAGGAGGGAUGGCAGAGAAGGUUAACAUAUAUAUAUAUAUAUAUAUAUAUAUAUAUAUAUAUAUAUAUAUAUAUAUAUAUAUAGGUAGGACAUGCGGAGAAUAACUGGGUAGCAGAUCAAAGCUGAAUAUAGUUCUACCAUAUAUAACAAUGUUUUCUACCAUAUAUACCACUAUUGAUGGUGCAAAUCUCUUUCCUUUUUCCAUAAAAUGCACACCUGUUAAUAAAUAAGCAAAUAACAAAAUAAUCAUAACUUUCUAAAUAAUUAAAUUACUGUAUUAAUUAAAUAAAAAGAUUUUCAUUGCUUGCAUGCCAAAUUUAGCUACAGCAAACAAAAAUCACAGCAUGCACACUACUCAUCUUCCGCAAUUACUAUUUUUGUAUGAUUUAACAGUUUGUACUAAUACUUCAUUCCAUACUUUGGUAGUAAUGUACAGUCUCAUUAUGCUUGUUGCAAUUGUAAUAUCUGAGAGACCACACAAGUUAGAUGAAUGCUGUCAAUUCCAGAUUAUCCAUGGUUUCCCGAUGCCAAAGGUAACCAAUACUAAUUGUGGAUUUAUGGAAUCAACAUUUUAUUUUAGCGUUGAUGUUGAUCAGUACUAAUUGACGUUAUAUUUACCUAUAGUUAUUUUUGCCAAUUAUAAUUCAUGACUUUAUGGAUCUUUUGACAUAUCGUGGAUGUACUUUACUAUUUAGGGCUGCUCGUGUGUUAAUGUGGGAGUUGUAGGAUUUAUACAAGCAUAUUAAGUUAUAAAUCUGCUACGUACUAUACAUGUAAUAAAAAUUGCAUUCACUGCUAUGAUUCAGCAUUUCGUGUCAGCCUAGGACCACAUACAACAUAUGAAUAUUCCAGCAAGUUGAUAAAUCUUGGCCAACCUAGCAACCUAUAAAUAUUUGCAACAAAAAGGCACCAAAUGUCUAUCUUCUGCCACCUAGAGAUCCCCAAGACCACUUGUUCUUUCAAUCAAAUGGAUGAUUAAUCACUACAAAUCGACAUUAGCUCCCCCAAAAAAGUCCAAACCAAACUGUGACUUGAGAGGGAGUUAAACAGAUCGAGUUUAAUCAUGGUCCCACAUAUUUCAAUUUGUCCUUGCUAUUGUUACUUUGAUCUGUGCACACAAAUAGUCAGGGAAUAACUGUCAUACACAGAGCAAUUAGGCGGGAGGAAGACAUAGAGGAAUAGUACAGGCUACAUAGUAUGUUAUCUGAACCACCACAUAGAGCACAACCAGCUUCCUCUUCCCAGCGCCAAAGCCACCAACCCCUCUGCAUCCUCCGUGAGCAGAGCAGAGCACAGCCGGCAGCACGACAACACGCAUGCUUCACGACCUUACAGGAAACCCAUCUCCAUGCUUGGGCGCAGUCGUGCCACUGCACACCAAGGCACCUACUGCGUACAGCAGGCCGGCCGCGCGCUCCUUCCAUAUGCUCUCUGACCGCGCCGCCGACAGAGCAAAGCCUGUCUGAGGAAAUGGCUGAAUUUAUCUUCACCUGCGCCAUGAAUGCGUGGUUAAGACCUGCUCUUGUCCCGGAUGCUGUACCCAAUACCUCGGCUUCUUGCUCGUUCUCUUCUUCCUUAUAGUAUUGCUGCACAUCUCAAAUUCCUAGCGUGGCAGAGGUCAGAACAUAGGGCGAGUGAGAGGGGCAUGGUACCGGCAAGUGAGUGGAAUAUGAUAAUGGAGGAAGAAGGAUAACUCUUGAUGCGCCACCCCCGCCCCGUCAACGACCGCUCGUCGACGUCCAAGCCAAUAAUGAUCCAUAUCUAACCCACUUCCGCCUCCACAUCCUUCUUCGGUUUACCUUAGGCGACAUGAGCAGUGUGGGCGAUAGUUAGUUGUGGUUGGAGGCGCUGGAAACCAGUGGGUUUUUUUAGGGAAAGAGCAGCGAUCGGGAGAGGGGCACGGGGAUCUACUAUCAAGAUCGGCAUGGGGAGUGAUCCUCGGAAUAUUUUUUCGUGAAUUGAUCUUCUAACGGCGGAAAAUGACAAUAGGUGCAGAAACAGUUGGAGGCACAAUGCUGCCGCCGAAGGAUGUAAAUAUCCUGUAACUCUGGCUGCUCAUCUAAUCUAGCGUCAAGCCCUAUUACCCCAGUACAGCUUCUGAAAUGGAGCUAAAUGCUCAGUCAUGGCAGAAAACCGAAUGAUUCGUUCAUGAUGUUGCAACAAAAUCGAUUAAUAAUCCAACAAUAUGGUAAUAAAACCAAACUUCAAUAAUACCAAAACAGCAUAAAGUUCGAAUAGGUUGAUAAUACCAAAACAUCCUAAACUUUUUGAACAUACGUCUAUAGAGGACCCCACUAACUUAUUAUCUAAUUAUUCAUAUCAAAAAUAAAUAAUUAUCAAAACGUUCCAUAACAAAUCUGUAGUGUAGGAAAACAUUCUUGGCAUAUCUGCAUGCAUCAGUCCUUCUUCAGUUGCUUAAAACCCUCAGGGCCGCUCUAAUCUCUGGCGGGAUGUUUGCAGCAGCUUCAUUGUCUUUGAACAUUAACAUGUGGACCGUAGCUUGAUGUCUGAGCUGUAUAGGAUCCUAGGAAAGGUGCAAAAACUCAAAACAUUUAAUAAACUGGUUGGAUAUUAAUUAGCACACAUCAACUCAUCAUUUUUGUACUUACGGUAGUGUUCAUCCAGCCCAUGCUACGCAAACGACCAAUCUGGUGGGCCAUCUCCUGUAGCACAAAGAAGCCGGAGUGUUUGCUGCGACAAAAUAAAUAAAUAUUAAACAUUAUAAAGGUCUGCAUCUUAUGUAUGCAAUAAAUUUAGUAUUUUACUGACGAGCAGCACAGGACAUGGUAUCUUGUUCCCAAUCCAUGAUUUGGUUAUUCCAACCAGCGAUCCUAGUCUGCAACACAGUGUUGAAUUCUUCCUUCAGCAGUGUGAUUUCCUUCCUCAUCAAUAUGUUAUGAGUGCUAUCUUCAGGAUCAAACGUGUUGAAGGAUGGAUCCAUCACGACAACCCUCCUCCUCAGCCGGCUGACUACAAGUAACCCGUAUGACGAAUCCGAAAGUUUCAACAGUAGUAGAUACUGUGGCAGAUCGACACAUAUAAAUUGCUAUUAUAAUAAGUAAAACUAACUUUAGGAAUGAGCUUCUCUUACAAUUACAGAGUUGAACACAUCAUAUUUAGGAAGAGGCGGGACCACAACAUAGUUAAUCAGCGUCGUGAUGCGCUCUCCUUGAGUCAUCCAGGAGUACCUCAGGGCCUGUGACUGAGCAUGAAACUGCAAGUCGAAAUAAUGUUUGCUCCCAACCCAGUUGGUGCCUGCGGUCCUCUCUAAUUCAGCGCUGGCAAGCUUACGUACAACAAGGUUGAAGCAUUCGGGAUGAAGUUUUGUAUGAAAAAAAGGGUGUCCUGGAUCAUUCGGAGGCUGAUGUCGAUCUGGUACGACCGGGAGCUUCUUAUCCAUAUUAAGCUGAAAAAAAUGCCCAACAUAAGACAUCAAUGGUCGUCUUCUAGUUUAACUUUGUCUAUACUAACCUAUAAACCGAAUUUAUGUUUAGAUUGCAUGACAUUGCACGAGGUCAGAUUGUCCUCACCUAGAUGUACAUACACGUAUCAAAUCUAGAACCUUAAUUCAUGGGCUGUGCAUGUCACUCUUCAUGUAGCAUCGGAUUCAACUAAAAAACUUAUACAUGUACCUAUGAAUGUUUUAUGAUUGCCCAUCUAGCUAUCUUUCCUUGGUGUGUAAAACAGUUUUCCAGCAUUAUCUGUAUAUAGUAAAAGAAUGUAUAAUAAGACAACUUACUUUAAUGUAUCUUGGUCUCGAAUGCCCAUGAUAAAGUGAAAUAUGUAUUGGAGUGCAUCUUCAAUGGCAUGCAUUGGUGGGUGCAAAACAUCCAUGGGCGCAGGCACAUCCUCCUGGGGACCGGGAACAUCCUCCUGGGCCGCAGACGCACCCUCUUCGGGUGCGUGUGCAGCGUUCCCAAUGAUCGCCUCCAUUGAAUAGAAAUUUAGUUCUUUAGUUCUCGAUCGGAAAUUGCUGAUGGGAUAUAUGUGAGUUUGGGUGGGUGGAUAAAUAGUAGGCAGAUGGAGUUUAUAAUUUUGGUACCGUGACAUCUAAUAAAUUGGAGAGUUGAUAUUGCCUUCCAAAUGAUCAACGUCGUUUAAUUAAAGCAGUUAUUCAUUUCCAUCUAUAACAUGUUAUAACUUGUGGACGGAUCUGAUCUUUCUCCCCGUAUCAGAUAAUAUAUUCCCGAUUACAUUAUUUCAGCCCACUUUGUCUGUGAAUACAACAGCAAAGGAAGUAAAAGAAACUUCCUUUUCCUCCUCCCCGUGGUCGUCUGUAUGUACAAGCAUUAUAUCUUUAUUAGGGUAAACAUAUCUGUAGAUUUAAUACAAUCUUAUUUUUCUAUCACAGACAAAGUGGAAUAUUUAAUUUAUUAACUCAUAAUAAUCUAUACACCGAAGGAUUGCAACGGAGUACGUCUGCUAAUAAAUCAGAGAAGAUGUAAAAGAUCCAAACAUGUUUAAAACAAAUUUGUUUAUUUAGUAUUUCUUUAAGUUACAAAAUAGUUUUUACGAUGUAUUUCUUUAGUAUUUCUUUAAGUUACAAAAUAUUUUUAAAACAAAAUAGUUUUGCACCAAAAAAAUGCAAUAGAUACAAUCUGUGAUUUGUCUAUUAAAAUAUUAAAGUUGUAAAAGUGAAAUUAUAUUGAAUUUUUUGAUCACUUAUUUUCUCAUUGAAAAUAAUGCUUUGGACUUUUUAUGUCACUUGUUUGCUUGACUGUAUAUAAACUAAUUGUAGUUAUCUAUUGAUGUUUUGAUUUGGCAGCUUUUAUUAUACAUCCCGUUCGACUGCAUAUGAACUCACUUUACAAGACAUUCGACAUGUAGCUAUUAUAAUAAAUCCCGUUAGACUGGUAUGAGAUUUUUUCUUCUUUCUUGAACUCGUCGUGCUCAUGGUAACAUGGGAAUUACUUGAUACUAAUGUAUGGUAUUACAUGUUUCUGUUUUCAGUGUAAAUGUGUUCAUUUACCAACCUAAGAUUGGUCAAUCUACAAUCAGGGACAGCCUUGAUGCCUUCUCAUGUAAGAGUAAGAUCCACAUCAUUUAAAUAACUUGAGUCCAUUACAUCAUGAUAAUAGGGUCAAGCUCCACUUUAAUUUGCAGGUAAAGCAUGCAGGAAAUGAUUGUUGACUUACAAUAAGAUAUGAAUAUGAG
rnacentral:lncRNA from 1 species